rnacentral:rRNA from 1 species
GAGUUAUCUGAACCUUCGGGGAAUGAUAACGGCGUCGAGCGGCGGACGGGUGAGUAAUGCCUAGGAAAUUGCCCUGAUGUGGGGGAUAACCAUUGGAAACGAUGGCUAAUACCGCAUGAUGCCUACGGGCCAAAGAGGGGGACCUUCGGGCCUCUCGCGUUAGGAUAUGCCUAGGUGGGAUUAGCUAGUUGGUGAGGUAAGGGCUCACCAAGGCGACGAUCCCUAGCUGGUCUGAGAGGAUGAUCAGCCACACUGGAACUGAGACACGGUCCAGACUCCUACGGGAGGCAGCAGUGGGGAAUAUUGCACAAUGGGCGCAAGCCUGAUGCAGCCAUGCCGCGUGUGUGAAGAAGGCCUUCGGGUUGUAAAGCACUUUCAGUCGUGAGGAAGGUAGUGUAGUUAAUAGCUGCAUUAUUUGACGUUAGCGACAGAAGAAGCACCGGCUAACUCCGUGCCAGCAGCCGCGGUAAUACGGAGGGUGCGAGCGUUAAUCGGAAUUACUGGGCGUAAAGCGCAUGCAGGUGGUUUGUUAAGUCAGAUGUGAAAGCCCGGGGCUCAACCUCGGAAUAGCAUUUGAAACUGGCAGACUAGAGUACUGUAGAGGGGGGUAGAAUUUCAGGUGUAGCGGUGAAAUGCGUAGAGA